UACGUAGGGUGCGAGCGUUAAUCGGAAUUACUGGGCGUAAAGCGUGCGUAGGCGGUUCUCCAAGUCCGUUGUGAAAGCCCGGCUCAACCUGGGAAUGGCAGUGGAAACUAGGGAACUUGAAUCUGGCAGAGGGGGUGGAAUGCCGCGUGUAGCAGUGAAUGCGUAGAGAUCAGCAGGAACACCGUGGCGAAGGCGGCCCCUGGGCCGAACCUGACGCUGAGGCGCGAAGGCUAGGGGAGCGAACGG
rnacentral:rRNA from 1 species